GUGGCUAUAGCUCAGUAGGUAGAGCGUCUGCUUGUGGCGCAGAAGGCCGAGGGAUCGAUACCCUCUAGUCACCC
rnacentral:tRNA from 1 species